rnacentral:rRNA from 1 species
GGCCCGCACAAGCGGUGGAGUAUGUGGUUUAAUUCGACGCAACGCGCAGAACCUUACCCAGUCUUGACAUCCCUGGAACCCCAUAGAGAUAUGGUUUCCGCCCUAACAGGCGGUCAGGUGACAGGUGCUGCAUGGCUGUCGUCAGCUCGUGUCGUGAGAUGUUCGGUUAAGUCCGGUAACGAGCGCAACCCCUGUCCUUAGUUGCCAAUUAUGGAACUCUAAGGAGACUCCCGGUGUUAAACCGGCGGAAGAUGGGGAUGACGUCAAGUCCUCAUGGCCCUUACGACUGGGGCUACACACGUACUACAAUGGCAACUACAAAGAGCCGCAAGACCGCGAGGUGGAGCUAAUCUCAAAAAAGUUGCCUCAGUUCGGAUUGGAGUCUGCAACUCGACUCCAUGAAGUUGGAAUCGCUAGUAAUCG